AAACCAGCACGUCAAGUGGUCAGGAUGAUUAUUGGGCCUAAAGCAUCCGUAGCCGGCUCUGUAAGUUUUCGGAUAAAUCUGUACGCUCAACGUACAGGCUGCCGGGAAUACUGCAGAGCUAGGGAGUGGGAGAGGUAGACGGUACUCGGGAGGAAGUGGUAAAAUGCUUUGAUCUCUCGAUGACCACCUGUGGCGAAGGCGGUCUACCAGAACACGUCCGACGGUGAGGGAUGAAAGCUGGGGGAGCAAACCGGAUUAGAAACCCGUGUAGUCC
rnacentral:rRNA from 1 species